AGUCUGGGUACGCAAGUCUGGUGAACGCAUCUCAGCCCUGCUUUACUAACUACACGACGAAUAUAACACGAUACAGCACUAGCUGCUAUGACUCCAUGUACACCCAAGCGUACAAUGCCUCCCUCUGUGAUCCAAUUUUUUUCGGUUUUGGUAAAUGCGCCUUAAAAGCUGCAGGACUUCUCAAUUCCAAUGGUUCAUUCAACGACGCGGCCUUCAAGUCAACCACGUUGCAGAACAAGUGCAGUUCAGACACCGCGUUCUCAACCGCGUACCAGUCCUGCAAGAACUCCACCCUGAAAUAC